GACUCUUGGCAAUGGAUAUCUCGGCUCUCGCAUCGAUGAAGAACGUAGCGAAAUGCGAUACCUGGUGUGAAUCGCAGAAUCCCGCAAACCAUCGAGUCUUUGAACGCAAGUUGCGCCCGAGGCCACUCGGCCGAGGGCACGCCUGCCUGUGCGCCA
rnacentral:rRNA from 1 species